rnacentral:rRNA from 1 species
GCGCCCCGCAAGGGGAGCGGCAGACGGGUGAGUAACGCGUGGGAACGUACCCUUUACUACGGAAUAACGCAGGGAAACUUGUGCUAAUACCGUAUGUGCCCUUCGGGGGAAAGAUUUAUCGGUAAGGGAUCGGCCCGCGUUGGAUUAGCUAGUUGGUGGGGUAAAGGCCUACCAAGGCGACGAUCCAUAGCUGGUCUGAGAGGAUGAUCAGCCACAUUGGGACUGAGACACGGCCCAAACUCCUACGGGAGGCAGCAGUGGGGAAUAUUGGACAAUGGGCGCAAGCCUGAUCCAGCCAUGCCGCGUGAGUGAUGAAGGCCCUAGGGUUGUAAAGCUCUUUCACCGGAGAAGAUAAUGACGGUAUCCGGAGAAGAAGCCCCGGCUAACUUCGUGC